UAUAUAUUGUUUUUAUUUUUCCUCUUUUGUUUUCUUAGAAGAGGGAAAGCUUGAGAAUAAAUCAGCAAUGAUAAAAAUUUUGUUCUGUUUUUGGAGUUUUAAAAAAUUCUCAUAAUUUUAAGAAAAUGCAGAAAGCAUUCAUAUUCAGAAAAGGAGCCAAGGAAAAGUGUUAGACACCACUUCAGAUUUAUCCAAUAUAAUAUUUACAAAGUGGUGGCUUUUUUUCUUAGUGUAAGUUUUAAUCUAUUGGUAUUAGCAAUAUCUGCUUUUCUCCUGCCUUGCUUUACACAGAUUCAUGAUUUUCUAAAAACUGAUGUUUUACUCAAAUUGAGGUAGGUUCUUUUCUACUGUCUUACAUAACUUUGGGUGCAUAGACCAAGAUUAUUUAUACACUGUAGAAGUCGAUGGUAUUAAAUCCGCUCAAGAAGUAAGAGAAGUCAGAGGCUAAGUCACGAAAAACCUUUGUCAAAAGACUGUAGGGUGAAUGUGGUUUUUGCAUCCAAAGCUUUACCUGUGGGUCUAAUAUAGAUUCUGUGCAUUCAUCUUCUGCAGGGACCAUUUCAGUAGAGCCUUUUAAGACACAUGUUUUGGAAUACAGUCAAAUGCGUGCUGCUGCAUGACCAGCCUAUUUGAACUACUUAAGCAUCAACUAAUUAAUCUGCAAGUGAAGAAUACUUCCAGCAUUACUCUAUAAUUAGACAAUCUCAGGAGGAAACAAGAGGAUUUCAAAGGGGAGUCAGAUGGUUUCGCAGACCGCUACAUCAUUUAUUUUUUCAUCACUCAGAUUAUGCCUCCAAAUCCUACAGAAGUAUAACAACCAUAGAACAGACAAACACCAACAGCAUCAACAACAGAGAAACUCAGUCCAGGAGGAUAUGAAACCCUUUGUAAUAAAGAAAGCAACAGCCAUGAACAUUUGUGUACAUGUG
ensembl:lincRNA